GACGAACGCUGGCGGCGUGCUUAAUACAUGCAAGUGGAGCGACGAACCAGGCUUCGGCCUGGGGCAGAGCCGCGAACGGGUGAGUAACACGUGGGUAACCUGCCUCGAUGACCGGGACAACCCGGGGAAACCCGGGCUAAUACCGGAUGUGCUGUCCCCACAUCAGUGGAGACAGGAAAGGAAGCUUCGGCCUCCGCAUCGAGAUGGGCCCGCGGCCCAUUAGCUUGUUGGUGUGGUAACGGCUCACCAAGGCUGCGAUGGGUAGCUGGUCUGAGAGGACGAUCAGCCACACUGGGACUGAGACACGGCCCAGACUCCUACGGGAGGCAGCAGUAGGGAAUCUUGCGCAAUGCG
rnacentral:rRNA from 1 species